GAUAAAUGCGGAUGAAGGCUACGCGUGGAAAACGUGUUUACAUUCACCAGUCGUUGUGUUCCAAAAUUACUUAAAUGCGGAGGGAAUAGUUAUCCAAUUUCUUUCAUUCACGAGCAGGGAUGUGUUGCUUUGUUGACGCUACAGGGAAGUUUCCUGGUUUAAAGAAAUUUGUGGCUAUAGGCAACAGCUACUUCAACAUGCUUUGCAUGAAAUCGUGCGUGUGUAACUUAGUUCUAGUGUGAGUGUGUGAUAUUGUACUCUGUGCAGUAUUUACGAAGGGACUGGUUGGUUUAUAUUUUUGUUUAUGUAAAUGAAAAAUGUAAAGUUGUGUGUAGUAGUGAGACAAAAGCCUUUCAUACAUUUAUUUAAGGUUGUCUGUUGUCUGUUUGAAGGUGUGUCUGCAAAGCUCUGAAACGUUUUGUCUUUUUUUAUCUCUUCUGCUCUGGAUAAGGUGGACUUCUCUCCUCUGACCGGUUACCAAGACAGCUGGGUGUGUAGGAAACUGGAACUAAGUCACUGAAGAAGUAAACCGAUGAAAACCGAUUUGGAUUGUCUGAGAGAUCUGUAGGGCACAAGUAAGAGGAGAAGAAUGCUGCUCAGCUGGGUCGGCGUCGGCCACACUACUUAUUCAAGAAGCCCUUGGAUAUCAUCGGCAUGUAUGAAGCACAGUCAUUCCGGUAGUCCGUUCCUCGAUGGACGUGAUGACCUGGCACCAAAACCGCUUAAUGUGUACGGAGCUGUGUCUGCAUCGAGGGAAGAACGCGGCACUGAAAUGACACAAAUGAAAGAAGAUUACUUCUGCUCUGCUGGGUCUGUGACACUAUUUAUCCGAGGAGUCCUCAAACAUCAGGAUGUAGGAAGACACAAGUAAAAGGAGAAGAAUGCUGCUCAGCUGGGUCGGCGGCCACACUACUUAUUCAAGAAGCCCUUGGAUAUCAUCAGCAUGUAUGAAACUUGUGGUGAGAUGCCAAGAGCUGCCAUGAGGGAUAUGCAACCUGCAGCUUCACCGUGCUUUUGGGAGGUCAUCUACUACGUGAACCUUAAUAUCUACAAGCCAGCUACUUUAAAUCCUUGAAAGGGUAGUGAUGUCAAUCAAACCAGAUCACGAGACAAGGUCCUGAGGUACAAACUGUCAAUAUAAUUGCGACAUCCCUGUCAGUUCUUUUGGACUGGAUACAUGCUGUGUUUGAAAUGUAUUAUUUGGAUAACCACCCAUCAGGGAAUACCUUGUUUGUUAAUGACAGAUAGACCUGCC